GGCCGCGCGCCGGGAGCGCCGGGCCGCAGCCUCGCGCCGCUUCCUGCCCUCGGGCAUCGUCCCGUCCCGCCGGGCCCCCGCCAUGCGCCACAGCCUCACGCAGCUGCUGGCGGCCUCGGCCGGCGGGACCGGCCCCUCGGGCGCCGCGUGGCCGCUGUCCGGCGCGGGGCAGGCCCCGAGAGGGCGGGAUGUCGGCGGGGAGGGCGACCCGGGCCCCGCGCGGCCCAAGCCCCCGGGCGCCUCGGAGCCGCGGCGGCAGGAGAAAGAGGCCGAGGCGCCCAGCAGCCCGGUGGAGGUGUGGGAGCAAGAGGACUGGUUCCCGGGGCUGGAGCUGGGAGACCUGCUGGAGGCGGCCCGGCCGGACUGGGACCUGGAGGCGGAGCUGAGCGGCUGUUUCUGUGAGGAGCCGGAGCCGCUGCCCCCGCCGGGCCAGGGCCCCCGUCCGGCCGUGUCCGGGCGGCGGAGCGGCGGGGCCGGCAGCCGGCUGAAGGCGGCGGCGGCGGCGCGGCUGAACCGGCUGAAGAAGAAGCAGUACGUGCUGGGGCUGGAGAGCCGCCUGCAGGGCCUGGCUGCCGAGAACCGGCAGCUGCGGGACCGCAACCGCGGCCUGAGCCGCCGCCUGCGAGAGCUGGAGCGGGAGAGCAGCUACCUGCGGGCCGUGCUGGCGAACCAGAGCGCGCUGGGGCAGCUGCUGAGCCGCCUGGCCGGGACCCGCGCCGGCGGGCUGCAGCUCAGCACCAGCCUCUUCAGGGACACGGGCAGCCCCCGCCGCCAGCACCAGCACCUCCAGCCCGCCGGCGAGAGCAGCGACCACGACUAUGCCCUGCCCAGCUCCCGGCCCCGCGGCCUGGAGGAGGCGGCCGUGGGGACUGAGGCGGAGGAGGAGUGGGCGGCCCCCGGCGGGAUCUGCCUGCACGUGGACCGGGAUCAGGUGUCGGUGGAGUUCUGCUCCAUCUGCGCUCGGCGGGCAGCGGCCUCCUUCAAAAUGUAGGGUCAAGUACCUGCUGCAAGUACUCGUGGGGUUCUCACCCCUAAGGGCCUCGCGUCGCGGCGGAGGAAACAGGCGAUGUUUCUCUUUUAGGUGCUUGCCCUGCCAGGCUCCGUUGUGUAGGGGUUAAAGAACAGUCGUUUUCCACCUCGCAACCUGGUAAGGAUCAAUAUAUUCCCAUAAUGCGGUAUCAGACAGCUUGCUUUGCUUAUCCCAGUCUCUUGUAAGGACUGGUUCAGGAAAUAAUUUCUCUGGUCCUUGGCCUACUCUGCCGAAAUGUUUCUAGCUCUGGAUGGUAAUUAAUAAUGAAGGCUACAAUCACAUCACUCUCAUUAGCUGUUUUCCCCUUUUCCUUUUUGAAACCGAUACAUUCGCUACAUAGCCAACACACAGCUACAUUUUGAAUUAAAAGAAUGUUCAUGCCAUUUGAAAUAGAAAUUUUCUAUUAAACCGAGUAUCUGAUGAGCUGAAAAGGGAAAAUAUGCUAAUAAAGAGGAUGUGCUUUUAUAGCUUUAAUCACAGGGGACUAUCCCUAAAGUGUAAGUAAAUUGCUUUUUAAUUAAAUUAAAAAAAAAAAUUGUGACCUGUUAGUUUAAAAUACUGUCCAGUGUUAGGGAUGCACGGUACCUUUUAAAAGUCCUUCUCUAUCUUGCUCCAAUUCAUGAUGCAGGGUUAUGUCUGAUUAAGCAGAACCUGAACACUGGUUAAAUCUGUACAGUAGAAUCCUCAUGUAGAGGAGUCAAUCUUUUGCAUGGACCUCUAAUGAGAAUUGGGUUUGAAGAAUGCAGUGCAUCGAAGUAACUCGUUACUUUAGGUUCCCAUAAGUAAAUCUCGGUGCCCAUGCACACUGAAAUUCCUGUGUUACUUCAGAGUAGCUUUAAAGUCUAAAAAAUAUUGCGUGUAUAUGCAUGUGCUUAAUUUUACUGUAGAGUUCUUAAUUUAGCCUCCUACAGUAUCCAGAAAUCUAUAACCUGAUACAAUUAAGCACAGUUUGGACAUGAGCAAAUAUGUAUCUUGAGGCUAAUGAUUUGAAAAAUGCUCCACGAUUAACUGAGAUAGGAGGAAGAAUAGUUUGACGAACAAAUAGUGUGUGUUUUCUUGUACUAGUCAGUGUUUCUCCCUGUCACAAAAGAUGAGUGGGUUCUUUUUUCAGUUGUAUUAUAAUGUUUAGGUUGUUUAAAUGUAUGUCAGUUGGGGGAAGAAGGAUUAUGGAAAUGAUAAUAUGUAAAGUGAGGUUUCACAAAGAAUACUUUCCAAAUCAGUUUCAUUUAUCAACUUGUUAAGAAAAAAUCUAUUUAGUGUUUCUGAAAUACUGUUUCCUAAAGCCUUAAAUUUUGUGUUUAAGGCUAAGUAGGUGAAAGUGUUCUCUCCCAGUCAUUUGCUUCAUUGGUGCUAGACCCUAUCACGUGUUCAUCAGUAUAAAAGGAGUUUGAUUUUCUUUGUGAAACAUCACUCUGUGAUAAAGUAUAUGUGUAUUUAGCAUCCUUGUUUUUCUUUAUGCUAAAGUGGAUUCAGCUGUGUUGGGGCAGAAGAGACGGGACCAGCUGCUGGCCACAUUUCCUGCUUUAUUUUAAAAGGUAGUAUAAGAAAUGAGAAUAAAGAGGUAACAGGGCUUUUGCUGUCUUUGGUUAAAAAGAAAAAAGUUGAAUGCUGGGAUCAUUUACUGUCAUUCAAGAUUUUUUUUUUAAAGAUAAUAUCCUGUCAACCAGGUUUUGCUCUACUGUAUGCAGAGUUCCAUCUGUUCAGGGUAUAUUGCCAGCACAAAAGAGACUUAGCGGGAUAUGUGUUACCUUACACCUCUGUGGUGGAUCAGCAGGGCUGUUCAAAGUUUCAGUCUUAAAUUGGGUAACUGCUGUAACUGAUGGGUCAUACUCGUGCCACAGGAGUCAGAGUUAACCACCAGGACCUGCACUGACUGAUAUGCAAAAUGGAAAUAAUGUAGAUUCAGCCUAGGCUCAACCUGCCUAGCUCAGUCUUCACUGAACAUGCUUUAUUUUGCAGUUUAUUGACAAAAAGAAAAACAUAAAUGUAGUAUGGGAUGUUACAGUGGCAUUUUCACGGUUACUUCAGUGUAGAAGUGUUUUUUAAGUUAAAUAUGCAUUCUUUCUUGUCGCAUCACUGCUAAAUGGCAGGGUCAGGGACUCAGUUCUUCUGGUCUCUGUGUGAACCUGCACGUCGCUCUGUCGUGACACGACCUGUGAGCUGUGUCUGAGAGCAGCUGAUUUUCUGACAUGCAAAAUUAUGUAUUGUGGUACAAGAACAAGGUUAAGUCCCAAGAAAGUCAGUGGCUGCAGGCAUUUCUAGUGCCUACUGAAUCAUAUUUAAACCAAAUAGUGGGGAGGAAGCUAUUUGAAACUCUUGACUGUACUAUCUGUAUGGUGUAUUAUUAAUGUAGCUUUUUGAAGUGAAAGCCUUGAAAUGACACAAUACUUGAAAAUAUAUUGUAAAUGUUUCCUUGUAAUUAUGUGCCAUCCAGAUAAGAAUAUAAUAUCAUAAUAAAAUCAGACUUGUUGAUCUUUCA